GCGAAAAUGCGGUCAAAAUUGCCAAGUCUUGACCGAUCCGUGGUAAUAAAAAGGUUGGGGACCAAUUUAUAGGUCACUACUCCCAAUAACUGCCUUAAAAACUUCCGAUCAGUCCGAAUUCAGGAAUAACGUUCCCCGCCGCCUGUCAGGCAGUGCUCAGGGCAUACUAGGCUCUUUCCGCUCCUAGGACCCGUACUUCCGGCUGUGGUUCGGCAAUAGCAGCGGCCGUUAGCUGUAGCUGCUGCUCGGAGCGGAUCGCUACUCCCGGAUUCUCUGAGCGGCUCCCCGCCGCCCCCCUUGCCCUCUGGAUCCGCCUGAAGCCGCUCCUCUGUCGGUUCCGAGACGCCAGCCGAGCGCUAACGCGGGGCUUUGUCGAGCUUCAGGUCCGGUCCUUCCAGUUAGCAUCGAGCUAACAGCUAGCUUCCUGCCGAUGAAAACAUCGAGAGGAAAACUUCACUGACAGGUGGAUCCAGGUUUCGGGUCGGUUUUGCUGGAACUGAAUCUGAGUCACCUUCAUGAAGUAGGC